CAGUUACAAUCCUUCGGGUGCGUUUCUGGGCGGCGAGCGGCGGACGGGUGAGUAAUGCCUGGGAAUAUGCCUUGAUGUGGGGGAUAACUAUUGGAAACGAUAGCUAAUACCGCAUAAUGCCUUCGGGCCAAAGAGGGGGACCUUCGGGCCUCUCGCGUCAAGAUUAGCCCAGGUGGGAUUAGCUAGUUGGUGAGGUAAAGGCUCACCAAGGCGACGAUCCCUAGCUGGUCUGAGAGGAUGAUCAGCCACACUGGAACUGAGACACGGUCCAGACUCCUACGGGAGGCAGCAGUGGGGAAUAUUGCACAAUGGGCGCAAGCCUGAUGCAGCCAUGCCGCGUGUGUGAAGAAGGCCUUCGGGUUGUAAAGCACUUUCAGCAGUGAGGAAGGCGGAUACGUUAAUAGCGUAUUCGUUUGACGUUAGCUGCAGAAGAAGCACCGGCUAACUCCGUGCCAGCAGCCGCGGUAAUACGGAGGGUGCGAGCGUUAAUCGGAAUUACUGGGCGUAAAGCGCAUGCAGGUGGUUUGUUAAGUCAGAUGUGAAAGCCCGGGGCUCAACCUCGGAACAGCAUUUGAAACUGGCAGACUAGAGUACUGUAGAGGGGGGUAGAAUUUCAGGUGUAGCGGUGAAAUGCGUAGAGAUCUGAAGGA
rnacentral:rRNA from 1 species